UACGUAGGGUGAAAGCGUUAAUCGGAAUUACUGGGCGUAAAGCGUGCGCAGGCGGUUUUGUAAGUCUGUCGUGAAAUCCCCGGGCUUAACCUGGGAAUGGCGAUGGAGACUGCAAGGCUAGAGUUUGGCAGAGGGGGGUAGAAUUCCACGUGUAGCAGUGAAAUGCGUAGAGAUGUGGAGGAACACCGAUGGCGAAGGCAGCCCCCUGGGUCAAAACUGACGCUCAUGCACGAAAGCGUGGGGAGCAAACAGG
rnacentral:rRNA from 1 species